UUUUUUUUAAACAAGGGAAUAGAAAAGAGACCAGUAUUUGACCAGGUACUCUUAGUACUUCAAAGAAAAGAAAUGCGCAGGAUACGAAUGACUCAAAGGUGUAUAUUAAGGAUUAAUAUUAUCACUUUUAUAUGUAUAUGUAUAUAUUGUGUAUGAGUCAU